CCUACGGGAGGCAGCAGUGAGGAAUAUUGGUCAAUGGACGCGAGUCUGAACCAGCCAAGUCGCGUGCAGGCUGAAGGAUCUCUGGUUUGUAAACUUCUUUUAUAUGGGAAUAAAAUGAGGAACGUGUUCCUUUUUUUGUGUGUCAUAUGAAUAAGCAUCGGCUAACUUCCUGCCACCAGCCGCGGUAAUACGGAGAGUGCGAGCGUGAUCCGGAUUUAUUUGGGUUAAAGGGUGCGUAGGUGGUCAAUUAAGUCAGCGGUGAAAGUUUGUGGCUCAACCAUAGAAUUGCAGUUGAAACUGGUGGACUUGAGUGCACACAGGGAAGGCGGAAUGCGUGGUGUAGCGGUGAAAUGCAUAGAUAGCACGAAGAACUCCGAUUGCGAAGGCAACUUACCAGGGUACAACUGACGCUGAGGCACGAAAGUGCGGGGAUCAAACAGGAUUAGAUACCCGGGUAGUC
rnacentral:rRNA from 1 species